rnacentral:rRNA from 1 species
AUUGAACGCUGGCGGCCGGCCUAACAAAUGAAAGUCGAGCGAAUCGGCGGACGGGCGAGUAAUGCCUAGUAAUCUGCCUGGUAGUGGGGGGUAACGUCCGGAAACGGGCGCUAAUACCGCAUACUAUCAAAUGAGCCUAUGUGGGAUUAGAUAGUUGGUGGGGUAAAGGCCUACCAAGUCGACGAUCCGUAACUGGGAUGAGAGGCUGAUCAGUAACACUGGAACUGAGACACGGUCCAGACUCCGACGGGAGGCAGCAGUGGGGAAUAUUGGACAAUGGGCGAAAGCGUGAUCCAGCCAUGCCGCGUGUGUGAAGAAGGUCUUCGGAUUGUAAAGCACUUGAAGUUGGGAGGCGUUACCAACAGAAUAAGCACUGGCUAACUUCGUGCCAGCAGCCGCGGUAAUUC